AUAGCACAAACAGGACUAGGUUGGUGCUUUGAUAACGUAUACUCAAGGUUGUUUGUUCUUCAUUGAACUUGGUAGAAAUAACCCAAUUUCAUUCCUCCAAACUCACCUUAGACAGAUUAAGAUAAAUGCAUUUUGUAUUAUUUUACUGUAGCAAAUGAAUUAAUGUACAUAGCAAUCGUAUAUAUUUACUUUUCAUUGAAUGCAGUGAGGCUUACUUCUGACCAAACUGGGUUGUUAAGUUUCAGUGCAUCACUGUAGGAUUUAAGAGUAAUCUGCAAAGUAGUUGAAAUACCAAUGGUGGGCCAAAGUCCUUUUCAAAAGCAGUAGUAAUGAAAGAUUAUGUUUUUUUAUUGUGUCAGGAGCUAUUUGAGAACAUACUGCAAGUUGUUUCUGGUGUGAGAACUAACUGGCCAUCUACAGAGACAUUUGCCCAGGGGAUGCCCAGAUGUGCUACCACCCUGCUGGGAGGCUUCUCUCAUCUCCCCGCAAGCUAGAGCUGACAGAUGGGAGCUCACCCAGAUUCAAACUGGCAAUCUUCAGGUCAGCAACCCAACCUUCAGGUCAGCAGUUCAGCCAGCACAAGCGUUUAACCCAUUGUACCACUGCGGCUUCAGAUGAUGCUGAGGAUCUACCACUAUUAGCAUUUAAACUUGGACACAUGUAAAAAUAAAGCUAAACCACAAUUUGUUAUACAUGGUGCUUCAAGAUCAUAGUUGAUAUUGCAAAUUAAUACCGGUAUAUGUUCCACUGGAUAGGAAUAUUGCACAUGCUAGUUGGGAUGAAUCAAUAAUCCUGAAAUCGUUAAUCCUUAAUGGUGUGAAUUUGUGCAAAUCCCAAAAAUCAUUGCCGAACAGAUGCCAUUCUGCAAAAGCCUCUGUAGAAACCAUAUAUUCUUUAUGUCAUCCAAUGAUAAAAGCAAAAAAUCGUGUUUACAAGCCUUAGGGUGAUGUUUAAAACAGAAAAGAAAUGGAUGUUAUAUUUCCUUUUCUGCCUCUCUUCCCAAGUGGGUAUGAUUUGGUUUUGAUCUUUAUUCCCUGCAACUCUUUCCGAGCUCUUCUUGUCCCCUGGAGGAACAAUGUGUGCCUUGUUCCCAUUCAGCGACCUGACGCACAGAUUAACACGCUUGAAUGACUAUUUCACUGCACUCCAUUGUGCUCAUUCCCCUCCAUGGGCAAUGCUCUCCGGGAAGACAGAGAAGGCAAUGGGACUGGCCUUCAGCUGCCAUGAUAGACAGCCAUCUCUUUGGUUACUACUCCCCACACAGAAACAUACCCCGUUCAUACAGAAGAUCAGAAAUUGAAAUGUAAAACAGACAUUGUUUUUAGAAAUUGUAGCAAACAUUGAAGAAAUCGGUUGAACUUCCCGUGCACAGUGAUGUCCUUACACAAAUUAGGAGUUUGGAUACAUAGUUGCCUGCCACUGAUACAGACUAAGAUUCAAUCAGUAAAAGCUUCUCAGGAUUUUUUUAAAAAUGAGAAAGUAUCUCUACAUGAAUUAUUUAACUUUUAAGAACAGGUGCUUAAGCCUGAGUUUUCAUCAUCAUUCCCACCUGUUCAUGUUAGGUAAAGGUAAAGGUUUCCCCUGACAUUAAGUCCAGUCGUGACCGACUUUGGGGGUUGGUGCUCAUCUCCAUUUCUAAGCCAAUGAGCCGGCGUUGUCCAUAGACACCUCCAGGUCAUGUGGCCGGCAUGACUGCAUGGAGCGCCAAUGUUACCUUCCCGCCGGAGCGGUACCUAUUGAUCUACUCACAUUUGCAUGUUUUCAAACUGCUAGGUUGGCAGGAGCUGGGGCUAACAGCGGGCGCUCAUUCCGCUCCCGGGAUUUGAACCUGGGACCUUUUGGUCCACAAGUUCAGCAGCUCAGUGCUUUAACACACUUGGCCACCGGGGCUUUUAAAUAUAUAGUCACGGACUGUCUUGCUUCAUUGGCUGCAUGCAUGCUACUUUGGAAGCCUAUUCAGAUCAUGAAUGACACAAACAUGUUUAAGCUUAAAUCAUCAAGAAAUUCAUAAUCCAAGGCAUCAUACUAUAUUCUGUAACAGAUGCAAAUAUUAAUUUUAAAAACAUCUAUUUCAGACUUAUUCUGGCAAAGUGAAGGCUGUACAAGGCUUGUGGUGUUCUUUAGAGAUGAUGUUUUACUCUCAAAUGCCCUGAGUGCAAAUUCUACUUCACUUUCUAAAACUGUAGGUUCAUCUCCAAACAGUUCUUCCUUGAAUGAAUACAUCACAUUUUCAUCUCUUCCAUAUAGUUCUUCAGUUUAUUGUUUCCACCGGCUUGUUUCCCCUACUUUUGGUUUAACUUUCCCUUUGGUUUCUCAGAUCUUGUGGAAGCUUUUCUUGUUCUUCCUUUUUUCUUGUCAUAUUCACUUCUUCUGUACUGAUUAUUAUAGUAGCUCUCUUUCUCUCUGUACACGUUGCCAAACACUGUUGGACUACAACUCCCAUCAGCCCUAAUCACCAGUCAGUCACGAGGGAUCAUGGGAGCUGUAUUUUAUAACUGAGGAUGGCGGGGAAGGAAUCUGAUCACCUUUGAGCUAAAGCAAUAUUGGAACUUUCCAAACUUGUAUUAAUUAAAUUUGGAGGAAGAGGCUUGUGGAGAAUCCCAUCCAUCUUAUUACAGAAAAGUUUUUGAGAAGUAGCAGUUGUAGAAUGAAUUACAAAGGACAGCAGGUGGAAACAGCAUAUAGAGCUAGAAACUGGAGUAUUUUAAAUAACUAUUUUUAGCAUAAAGAUUUGGAAUGGUAUUUACAAACAUUGUUCUGAAUAAAGGUUGUUCUAUUUAUUUCCUUCAAGCUGGGAUUUUGCAGCUGAAACUUCCCCCCUCCUUAGCAGUAGCUGGAAUAAGUCCUAUCUGCUGGAUUUCCGUUUGCCGUGCAGCUGUUAAAAGCAUAGGAGCCUUGCCUCAGGAGGACAACAGAAACCCUCUUCUCUACCUUUUAUGGAUAGUUGUAGUCUAGACAGCCUUCUGAAAAUCCAUCAUAAGUGAAGGUCUUUCAAGGUCUUUCAUAGGAAAUGUAGCUGUUUGCAAGGCUCAAAUGUUUUGUUCAUAUGCAUUAUUUAUCACCCCAAUUAGAAAAGAGGCAGCCAUGAAAGACAUGCUUUUUAGUUUUUUCAAUAAUUUAAGACUGGUUGCUCCUCUUCUGUCAGCUUUCCCCAAAGAUGCAAGCAAAAAUUAAAGAAAAUUCUGUUUCUACGGUUACAAAGACCUGCCUAAAUCCAGAAGAGUUUAUAAUCAAUAAAAUAUGCCAGAUGCCUGCUGAAGUCAGGCACUUUGAGUAGCCAUCAACUCUUUUAAAAAGCCAUUCUAUCACCUUCUUCCUUCUAUCAAUCUCCACCUGGUAGUGGCCAUUCAUUCCAUCAGGUAAUUCCAGAAGAAAAGGAGGAAUGCAGGGCCAUCUAACUUUGCUAAGACACAAUCUGCAGCUAUUUCCCACCCCCACCCCCUUGACCAAUCUAUCUUAUCGCUGAAACAACUAAUGCCAGAGUUUGAUUCUCCACCACCACAUUACAAUAUAUUUUUCUUUACUUUAGAUAUUAGGCUUUUGGGCAGGGAUAUUACUACUGAUCUUUGUAAACCAACUUAUGCAUAUUUUCAAAGGAGGAUAUAACGACGGUUUAAAAUUUUCUUAAAGAGAAAUAUGAGGCUCAAUUCCAUUAGGCUAUGAAUUAGGUGGCAUUAAAUGUGACUGGAAGUGACAGUCUUGAUGUGAACUCAGGAUAUAAUACCGCUUUGUAUUUGAGAUUAGAAAAUUGUUCCAGUCCAGCUCCUGCCAGUCUCCAUGUUUUGACUGCAAAUGUCUAAACAGGAAAGGGAGAUGUGUUUAAGUGCAUGCAACUAUAAAGCUCCCCAAGACCGGGAAUUGUGUUUUUGAGGCAUCACAACUACAGAGCUUUUGAAUGAUGUCAACUAAUGUAAAUUGUUUCCACGGCAUACUUCCCCCCUGAAAACUGGGAGACUGAAUGAAGUAUGGAGCAUGCAUCCCCAUUCCCCUAUUUAACGUACCUUUAAAUAUCUAGACAAGUUUUUUGGAAAUACAAUUUUGCAAUUGUAAACAGGGCCAAGAGCCUAUUUUAAACUUUGAAAAUGAAAUAUGAACUUUAUUCUACAACUUUAUUCACUUUGGCUUCUACUGAUUACUUUUAUCUAGUGCACAACCUACAAUUCUUGCCAACCUUACAAACACAAAAAAUUGCUUUAAUUCUAGUCUUCACUAUCAAGGAACCCAUGUUCUGCUAAGGAUGGGGAAAAUUUUGGCAAUAGGUGGAUGUUAUUCUAAAACAUGUGGCAGUCACUAUUUUUAUUCUUCCCAGCAGCAGUUCUAGGUGAAGAUACCAGAAACCAUCUCAGUUCCUGGUACAGCCUCAUCUGAAUGCCUGCAACUUCCUCACCCUUACUGCAAUCAUCUUUCCUGGAAGAAGCAAAAGGGCUGCUGACUCAAAGUACCCUCAUGUUGCUGCUUUCUCUCAUCCUUCUAUCUUGGUAAUCAGGAUGCUACAUAAAUAUACUGGUGGAUCGUGAUGACCCAAAAGCUUUAUACAAGAUUUUGGCCUAAGUUCUUAUUUUUACAAAUUGAAGAUAGCAUAGUUUGAACCAAGCAAAAAUGUCCCAAUUUAAUUUUAUAGUCAUGUAUCAACAAUCACUGGUGGAAAUUCACGGACAUCAAUCCAUAAGCCAAAGAACUUUAGGGCCUAUAAAAUAGACAUCUAUUUUAAAUGCUAUCGUUAUAGAGACUUUGACAUACUUUUUUCGGUUAUGGAAGCCUUAGAUAUUUAAGAAGAUUACUGUUACCUGUUUGUGGACUUUUGUGAGUUGUUCAAGAUUAUUCUCAAGAAAAGAAAUCUUCUGCUUCUGGGCAGCACUGCCACCAGUGUCAUCAGAGUCAAUCUCAGCACUCUAUGGAAAGACACACAACCCAGGAUUUUAUUUCUCAGGAACAUGAAUAAAGUAUUGACGGAAUGAAAGCAAUAA